UGGGAAUUUUGGACGAAUUGGGGAACCCUGGAAUCCAGCCAUCCCGCCGUGUGCGAUGAAGGCCUUCGGGUUGUAAAGCACUUUUGGCAGGAAAGAAACGUCGUGGGUUAAUACCCCGCGAAACUGACGGUACCUGCAGAAUAAGCACCGGCUAACUACGUGCCAGCAGCCGCGGUAAUACGUAGGGUGCAAGCGUUAAUCGGAAUUACUGGGCGUAAAGCGUGCGCAGGCGGUUCGGAAAGAAAGAUGUGAAAUCCCAGAGCUUAACUUUGGAACUGCAUUUUUAACUACCGGGCUAGAGUGUGUCAGAGGGAGGUGGAAUUCCGCGUGUAGCAGUGAAAUGCGUAGAUAUGCGGAGGAACACCGAUGGCGAAGGCAGCCUCCUGGGAUAACACUGACGCUCAUGCACGAAAGCGUGGGGAGCAAACAGGAUUAGAUACCCUGGUAGUCCACGCCCUAAACGAUGUCAACUAGCUGUUGGGGUCUUCGGACCUUGGUAGCGCAGCUAACGCGUGAAGUUGACCGCCUGGGGAGUACGGUCGCAAGAUUAAAACUUAAAUGAAUUGACGGGGUCAUAGCUGUUUCCU
rnacentral:rRNA from 1 species